ACGAAGCUGAUUUAGAAAAAAGAUAAACACUGGCUUAACACGGAGAUUUUUUUAACUCACCUGAUAUAUAGGAAGGAUAACCGUUGUAAUGAAUGGAUUCCUGAACUGCUGACGUACCGGUCGAAGGGGGGUUGAAAGCUAGUUUCGGAUGAUGAGAAGACAUGCAAUUAGAAGGCCAUGUUCUGGAUUCCUUGUUACAUAAACUGAUUCCCGUGUUGUAAUUUGAAGAGUAACCUUAAAUAAUUCAAAUGUAUUUAAAUUUUAAAUUAGCUUUGAAAUUCUUUUAUAGUAGCACAAAUAAAUUAUUCAAUACGUGUGAUUCAAAUACGCACGCCUUUGAAUUAUGGCUCAUUCUUAUUGACGCGUUUUAGGCCGAGGAACUAUGGAGAUAAUAAAGCCUCCAGCAUACUACGGUACAUCUUUAAGAAAACGAGGAGAGAUAUGGAAAUCCUAUGUGCACGCGGAGAGUUCUCUAUUACUGAAUAUUGUUCCACACACUCCAAUGUUCUGUGUGUGCUCAUGGAAUUUUAGUCUGAGGAUUGUUUGGUCUUGGGGUUGCGCUCCAAUAGAAAUCUGUUUACCGGACAACAUUUAGCUCCUAUCGUAUUGAACAGCCUCUUUAUAAUAACCGUAAAAUGUGCUACCCAUCGCCGGCUAAAAACCCACCACUUUAGACAGUCGAUGGAUGUGUGGCAAAAAGGGCAAGAGGAAAUGGGAGGAAGAAACCGGAAAAAAAAAAAAUUGAAUGAUUCAGUAAUCGAAACGUAUCGGUUUACUCGUGGUCAAUUCGAUCUGGCAAGACUAGAUGGCUUCCAUUCGAAUAAAUUCAAUUAAAAAGCUUUAAAAAAUUUACCUGAAUUAUUUUGGUAAAACAUUUCGUUCGGAUUGGACGGAUUCAUUCAAAUAAAAAAUAAAACUUAUUUGAAUCUUCUCGAAUAAGUUCGUGUAAAAAAACCCCAAAAAAGGACAGUUGGAACUCCACUAGAAAUAGAUAGUCAGAUUCUCUGAGUUCUUAGAUCGAUGGAUAGAUGGUGUGGGGUUAGCAUUGAGAUGCACACAGCACACAGCAAUAUUCGACUUACAAGUUUAAACCAAUAGAAAAAAUAA